UACGUAGGGACCAAGCGUUGUUCGGAUUUACUGGGCGUAAAGGGCGCGUAGGCGGCAAUUCAAGUCAGCUGUGAAAUCUCCGAGCUUAACUCGGAACGGUCAGCUGAUACUGUUUUGCUAGAGUACAGAAGGGGCAAUCGGAAUUCUUGGUGUAGCGGUGAAAUGCGUAGAUAUCAAGAGGAACACCUGAGGUGAAGACGGGUUGCUGGGCUGAUACUGACGCUGAGGCGCGAAAGCUAGGGUAGCAAACGGG
rnacentral:rRNA from 1 species